rnacentral:rRNA from 1 species
GAUGAACGCUGGCGGCGUGCCUAAUACAUGCAAGUCGAGCGAACAGAUGAGGAGCUUGCUCCUCUGACGUUAGCGGCGGACGGGUGAGUAACACGUGGAUAACCUACCUAUAAGACUGGGAUAACUUCGGGAAACCGGAGCUAAUACCGGAUAAUAUAUUGAACCGCAUGGUUCAAUAGUGAAAGACGGUUUUGCUGUCACUUAUAGAUGGAUCCGCGCCGCAUUAGCUAGUUGGUAAGGUAACGGCUUACCAAGGCAACGAUGCGUAGCCGACCUGAGAGGGGGAGAGGCAACAGUGGACGAGAGACAGGGCCCAGCCUCCGGGGGGAGGCAGAGGGAGGGAAUUUUCCGAAAGGGGGGAAGGCCGGGCGGAGAAGCGCCGGGGGGGUAAUAAGGUUUUUCGGAGCGUAAACCUCUGUUAUAGGGGAAAAAAAAAGUGGAAAGAAAAUGUCCCCGUCUUGACGGUACAAAAUAAGAAGGCAACGGCUACCUACGUC